AUUGAACGCUGGCGGCAGGCCUAACACAUGCAAGUCGAGCGAGCGGCGGACGGGUGAGUAAUGUCUGGGGACUGCCCGAUAGAGGGGGAUAACUCCUGGAAACGGUGGCUAAUACCGCAUACUAGCGGAUAACCCAUAUGGGAUUCGCUAGUAGGUGGGGUAAAGGAUCACAUAGGCGACGAUCUCUAGCUGGUAUGAGAGGCUGAUCAGCCACACUGGGACUGAGACACGGCCCAGAUGCCUACGGAGGCAGCAGUGGGGAAUAUUGCACAAUGGGCGCAAGCCUGAUGCAGCCAUGCCGCGUGGAUGAAGAAGGCCUUAGGGUUGUAAAGUACUUUCAGCGGGGAGGCGUUACCCGCAGAAGAAGCACCGGCUAACUCCGUGCCAGCAGCCGCGGUAAUUC
rnacentral:rRNA from 1 species